AAACUCCCUGGAUCUUGCAGUUUAGGAGGUAACAUCUUCUGUAUGACUGCACUAUAAUUACCUUGCACCUCAAUAGUUUCCUUCUCAAUAUACUUUCUUUUCUUCAUGAGAAGUUCUUUCAAGAAUUUCGCAUAUGAUGGCAUUUGCUGAAGUGCCUCAGAAAACCGUAUGGUGAUUUCCAACUUCUUAAAAAUCUCCAUAAAUCGCUCAAACUGUUUUUCUUUUUCCUUCCUUGAAUAUGUCUUAGGAUAAGGAAGGGGUUUUUCAAUCUCUCUUUCUUUUAAUUUUUCAACCUCUUCUUUCUCUAUUUCUCCCUCAACUCUCAUUUUUUCACUCAUUCCACUUUCCUCUUCCUUUCUUUCCUCCCUCUGAUCACUCUUAUUUUCUUC
rnacentral:lncRNA from 1 species